AGCGCUUAAUUUGCUUUAUUACUAUAUAGUCUUCUCCUACUUGGCUUCCUUUCUCUCUCCCUUAUGAAAGCUUGGAUGGUAGAGGGGGGCGGGGUAGCUGGUGAGCUCUCCCUAAAGCAGGUACUUACUUCCCCUCGCCCUCAGUCUCUGCGUCUCUCAGACCACCACUGACAAGUGUCGAUAUGUGGAAGUAGUUCCCUCAGGUCCACGCUGGGAGCAGUCACUUCAAUGGAAAGCUCUGUGGUCCCUGCCAGCAACUCUGGUCCACAGAUGUCUCAGGACGCACGCAGCCCCGCCCUUUCUCGGUGGCGGCAGUGGGGCUUGCAAAUGAUCGGGCACACCAGAAUUGUAACCGACCUUAAGGUGGACUUCCGCAAAAGGAACCAAAGAAACCUGCGGGCUCUGUCUACUCACCCAGGGAUCGCUUUCCUGGUGGUGAAAUGAACCCAGCUUCUUAGUGGAAUGGAGCAAUCACUGGAUGCCAGUAACACUACCCUACAAUGUGUAGAGGGGGAAAUGAAGGCUAGCUCAUCCGAAGGAAACUACAGGGGAAUUUUAGAUCAGCAGAAUGCAAUUAUCCAAGUUGGAACUGUUCCAGGACACCAAAAGCGAACUUUAAAGGUGGGUAAAUUGAAUAGCAUUUCUCCUCAGUUGCAGGGCAAGCAACCACAUCCCUGACAAGAUGGGUGCUUGUUCUCUUUAUUUGUCUUUACUUUGUGAAAACCAGUGGCCAAGGCCCUGGCCACUGUCACAGGAAAUGGAGUGUGUAGACCAUUUGAGCAGAAUGGAGAGCAUCAAAUCUAAUAACAGGCACCCUACGCUCUACAGCUCUCUAAAAAGUGAAAGAAGACAUUUUUAGAAUCUGUUUCAAGACACAAUCUAUUUGUUGACCAGGUAUUUAGGAAGACUAUGUUCCCAGCCCCUCUUGCAUCUAAGUGGGACCACAUAACUAAGUUCCUUCUGGCCAGUGGAAUGUGGGCAGAAAUAUAUUACUCGACUUCUAGUUGGGCCAUAAAACACACCUCUUGGUCUGCCAAUUUCUCUGUCUCUGCUUCUCUGUCUGUCUCUCUCUCUCACACACACACACACAUAUACACACACACGUGAAGGACCUUCUUAGAGAGCAGCUAUGCGGAAGAGUCACGCAAGCUACGUCCGACUGUACCACGAACAAGGAAAAAAAAUUUUUUUAUUGUGUUAAGACUUGGAAGUUUUUGUUAUACUGACAGAGAUAUGUUGACUAAUAUAAUAUCCAUAAUAAAAAUGGAAUUCUCUUGAAUUCCAAGAUGGAGAAAGUUGAAAAGUCA
rnacentral:lncRNA from 1 species